ACCAUGAGAGAUGCUAAAGAGAGGACUCGGGAUAAUUGCUCCUCCCUGGAAAUCUUCCUUUUGAUGGCUUCUCCCAGCUUGACCUCUAACUGGCAGGUUGGGACCAAACUCCAGGAUGCAUAUGAGCCAUCUGGGAUCAUGCCAACCGGAGCAACAUCCCAGAAGUGGUGAAGCAACAAGAGAGAAGCAGCCUGGGUGCCGGAACACUGCAGGGAACCAGCCACCAAAACAGCUCUGGACAACUGCCCUGUGGACUGCAGCAUGAGAAAGGAGUAAAAUUCUAUUUGGCUUAAGGCC